rnacentral:rRNA from 1 species
GCGUGGAGGAAGAGCAUUUAGGUGUGUAAACUCCUUUUAUCAAGGAAGAAGAUGACGGUACUUGAUGAAUAAGCACCGGCUAACUCCGUGCCAGCAGCCGCGGUAAUACGGAGGGUGCAAGCGUUACUCGGAAUCACUGGGCGUAAAGCGCAUGUAGGCGGUUGUUUAAGUUAGAAGUGAAAGCCUACGGCUCAACCGUGGAACAGCUUCUAAAACUGAAUAACUAGAGUCUGGGAGAGGAAGAUGGAAUUAGUAGUGUAGGGGUAAAAUCCGUAGAGAUUACUAGGAAUACCGAAAGCGAAGGCGAUCUUCUGGAACAGGACUGACGCUGAGAUGCGAAAGCGUGGGGAGCAAACAGGAUUAGAUACCCUGGUAGUCCACGCCCUAAACGAUGAAUGUUAGUCGUUGGAGUGCUAGCCACUUCAGUGAUGCAGCUAACGCAUUAAACAUUCCGCCUGGGGAGUACGGCCGCAAGGUUAAAACUCAAAGGAAUAGACGGGGACCCGCACAAGUGGUGGAGCAUGUGGUUUAAUUCGAAGAUACGCGAAGAACCUUACCUGGCCUUGACAUAUACCAGAAUCUGCCAGAGAUGGUGGGGUGCCUUCGGGAACUGGUAUACAGGUGCUGCACGGCUGUCGUCAGCUCGUGUCGUGAGAUGUUGGGUUAAGUCCCGCAACGAGCGCAACCCUCGUGACUAGUUACUAACAGCAUAGGCUGAGGACUCUAGUCAGACUGCCUUCGUAAAGGAAGGAAGGGAAGGUGAGGAACCGACGUCCAAGUCCCUCAUUGGCCCCUUACGGCCCAGGGCGGAAAACACGUGGCUUACAAUGGGAAGGGACCAAAAGGAGGAAGCAAAACUUGUGAGGUGGAGCAAAUUCUUUUAAACCUUCUUCUCAGUCCGGGAUUGCAGUCUGAAAUUCCGAACUGGCAGUGGAAGCUGGGAAUUCACUUAAGUUAUUCCGUGGAAUUCAAGGCAUGGUCCACCGGGUGGAAUACGUUCCCCGGGGUCUUGUACUUCAACCGGCCCGUCAACACCAUGGGGAAGUUUGAUUUUCAACCCCGAAAGCGGGGAAUGCCUAAAAAUUAGGGGCUUUAACCCCGGCC